AACUCAUUCAACUAUAAAACUUCCAAAAUCUUCCUUUCCUCUUUUAUUGAACAGCAUGGCUUUUUUUCAUAAAAACAUAACAUGAGCAAAACAGCAAUCGAGAAAAUGAUACCUUAGCUAGAGGAUUUGUUUAGACUGAAAAACAAAAACAAAAAGAAGAUGAUGAUGAAUUCAAUUGGCGAACGGAAGACACUUAAAAUCCUUUCGAGUUAAAAUCAACAGGGAAAAAGAAAUGAGGAAGCGUCAUAUACAACAGCCUUAUCAUUGUCAUCCAUAAAUUCUAUUUGCACACAAACAAUCACUAAAUUUAAGCUUCUAUAUCGUUUAACUCGUAAAAUAACCACUAUUCGUAUGUAUGCAUGCACGCAUAUAUCAUAAAGUCAACGUAGCAAUUCGUGGUACGGACAACAACUUUUCCCGCGCAUUAUCCGAUCCCAUUCAAUAUAAAGAUGUAUGUGGGGAAGUACACAUUGAGUCCAAGGGAUAUUUGGGCAAAAGGUAAAUCGCAUCGGAAAGUCGAAAGCGAAGGGAAAACAAAUAUUUGUAUCUCUGAAAUAAGCCGAAGAUUUGAUUGAUC